UCCAAUCCAUUGGAAUCGUUCGAUAAAAUUCCUUUAUUUUUUUUUUUUUGUUGAAUCGUGGUGAAUGAAUCGAACAUUCAUAGGCAAGCAAAAGGAAUUUCAGACGCGACACGUUUCGUAACCAAGAUUUGCUUUUACCGUUUCACCAUCGAAUGUAUAAUGGCGCCGUAAAGCUCGACCAAUUUGCCCACCAUUAUAUUAUUCCUCUCAUGACAUAUAUUUCCUGGAUACUGGAUUAUUGGAAAUAAGAGAGAAAGAACAAAGAAAAAAAGAAGAAAAAAAAGAAGCAUAAAUUCAUCAGUAAUACUAUCUAGAAACUUUGUGUUUUGAAUGCUAUGAAGGUUAGGAAGAAAAAAAAAUGUGUGAUAUUUUUCUCAUGGGAAUUGUGUUCCGUGUAAAUCUUCCUAAUAGUGAAUGUAAAAAGAAUAAUACAAUACAAUAGUAUUAUUAUUAUAAA